rnacentral:lncRNA from 1 species
AUGAACAGAGAACGGAGCUCAAACCUGUUCAUUAAUAGAUGCUCUGACGAGCUGAGUAUCAAACGGGAGGUUCCUGCUUUACUGGGCCCGUUACAGUGUGGACACGGGACUCUGAGUACAGACUGAAGCAUGUGGAUUCAACACACGCUGAAGGUCACACAUCAUGUUCAUUCUCAUUGGACUGUAGCUUAAUGAGGCGUUUCACUGAGAGUCGUUCAUUGAGGGAGAGCGUGAUACUUGUCAGGUGUUGUUCACAAAUCACCAGCUACACUGUUAACAUUGGUAAUUAGCAUUUUUCAUGCCUGGUUUUACAUGAGCUUCCCCUGUGGCGAUCAGGUUUGUGAACAUGACACUGCCUGUGCAUUACCACCAAUUUGUGCUCAAUUACAAGAUCACGAGGCAGAAAAUGUCUGCAUGCAAGACAAAAAAAAAUAGGUGGCACAUCGAUAUGCACAGCUUUUGAAAUGUAAUGCUUUCAAUAAAUUACAUAUGGCCAGAAUCAUGCAACAUUUUCACAAAGAUCUCCGAAUUUUCAGUAUUAUAUGCAUGCACACACAUUUAUUUAGCUAUUUAAAUGGGGAUAUUACAUAGACUUCUAUUGUUUUUUUUAUACAGAUUGUUAUAGGUUUUAUAAAUAAAUCCUAACUCACACCCUAACCCUACCCUAACAGAAAUUUAGAUCGUUUCCUCCACUGAAUGCUGAACACCAGUGAUUUAUAUAACUUUGAAAGCUCUGAUUGAAUUCAGUUGCUAUGAGCGAUAAACAGCUAUUCUUUAUGAGCUACAGUCAGCGUUUGUGCUGAAGAUCCUGUAGUAAAUAUGAGCUCGCCUCCUUGACCCUCUUGGACCUCUCUGCUCACCUGUGACCUCAGGAUUUAUGACGGCCCGGCUCGGGAUUCUCUGCAUGAUGCUGUAGAGAGAGUCAAUAUGUGUUAUAAACGCAUCGUAGAUUUCUGUUUAAGCAUGCAGUUUUAUUUAUCCUUUUGAAAUGUCAUUAGCUCUGCAUGUAUUCCCACACUGAAACAAGCUUUACCAAGCACAGUAAUUUAAGUAGCUCUUUAAUAAUGCUUUCUUAAACUGGUCCUGCAUGCUGAUCAGUCAAUACAGAAUUGCAGAAGUGCUAACUGAUUUCAUGCUUUCCUAGGAAAUACUUAUUCAUACAUAAUGAAUUUGCUUAUAGAAUGUAGAUAGAUAGAUAGAUAGAUAGAUACUCCUCAGCAUAUCUAUACAGGGGUUUCUGCAAGCACUAGCCAAGUAUUUGAAUGUUGAGCAGCAAGCUCAUUGGCUGCUAGAUACAAAAAGAACCAAUCAGAUGACACCAUGUGAAUAAUGAUAUGAUUAUAUCAGACUAAGUUAGAACCUAUUUGCCUGUGCCUAUGACAGAAAUUUAGUCAUAUAUAUAAACAAUAGCACUUAAUAAAUUUAGACUUGGUAAAAAAUAAAAAAAAAAAAAAAGAAUUAAAAUAUUUUAGAUAUAAAUUAACUAAUAGUUGAACUGAACUUACCAAAAUAAUUAAAUAUAAAUGUAUAAUACAUAUAAAUAAAUGAUAAAAAUUACAUAGAUUGAUAACUUAACAUAUUAA